rnacentral:rRNA from 1 species
GUGCCAGCCGCCGCGGUAAUACCGGCAGCCCGAGUGAUGGCCGAUAUUAUUGGGCCUAAAGCGUCCGUAGCUGGCCGAACAAGUCCGUCGGGAAAUCCACCCGCACAAAGGGUGGGCGUCCGGUAGAAACUGGCCGGCUUGGAACCGGAAGGCUCAGAGAGUACGUCCGGGGUAGGAGUGAAAUCCCGUAAUCCCGGACGGACUACCGAUGGCGAAAGCACUCUGAGAAGACGGCUUCGACAGUGAGGGACGAAAGCUCGGGUCUCAAACCGGAUUAGAAACCCCGGUAGUCC